rnacentral:rRNA from 1 species
GAUGAACGCUGGCGGCGUGCUUAACACAUGCAAGUCGAACGGAAAGGCCCAAGCUUGCUUGGGUACUCGAGUGGCGAACGGGUGCGUAACACGUGGGUGAUCUGCCCUGCACUUCGGGAUAAGCCUGGGAAACUGGGUCUAAUACCGGAUAGGACCACAUUUUGGUUGUUGUGGUGGAAAGUUUUUCGGUGUGGGAUGAGCUCGGGGCCUAUAAGCUUUUUGGUGGGGUAAUGGCCUACCAAGGCGUCGACGGGUAGCCGGCCUGUGGGGGUGUACGGCCAGGUUGGGCCGGAGAUACGGCCCAGAGUCAGACGGAGGGAAGAAGAGGGGAAGAUCGCACAAGGGGAGAAAGCCUGAUGCAGGGAGGCCGCGGGGGGGGGGACGGCCUUCGGGUUGAAAAAUCCUUACGCGGGGGAUAAAGCGUUUUUGUGACGGUACCUGGAGAAGAAGCACCGGCUAACUACGUG